rnacentral:rRNA from 1 species
GAACGCUGGCGGCGUGCCUAAUACAUGCAAGUAGAACGCUGAAGGAGGAGCUUGCUUCUCUGGAUGAGUUGCGAACGGGUGAGUAACGCGUAGGUAACCUGCCUGGUAGCGGGGGAUAACUAUUGGAAACGAUAGCUAAUACCGCAUAAGAGUAGAUGUUGCAUGACAUUUGCUUAAAAGGUGCAAUUGCAUCACUACCAGAUGGACCUGCGUUGUAUUAGCUAGUUGGUGGGGUAACGGCUUACCAAGGCGACGAUACAUAGCCGACCUGAGAGGGUGAUCGGCCACACUGGGACUGAGACACGGCCCAGACUCCUACGGGAGGCAGCAGUAGGGAAUCUUCGGCAAUGGACGGAAGUCUGACCGAGCAACGCCGCGUGAGUGAAGAAGGUUGUCGGAUCGUAAAGCUCUGUUGUAAGAGAAGAACGAGUGUGAGAGUGGAAAGUUCACACUGUGACGGUAUCUUACCAGAAAGGGACGGCUAACUACGUG